CCUACGGGUGGCUGCAGUGGGGAAUAUUGGGCAAUGGGCGCAAGCCUGACCCAGCAACGCCGCGUGAAGGAAGAAGGCUUUCGGGUUGUAAACUUCUUUUAAGAGGGAAGAGCAGAAGACGGUACCUCUUGAAUAAGCCACGGCUAACUACGUGCCAGCAGCCGCGGUAAUACGUAGGUGGCAAGCGUUGUACGGAUUUACUGGGUGUAAAGGGCGUGUAGCCGGGCUGACAAGUCAGAUGUGAAAUCCAGUGGCUCAACCACAAAACUGCCUUUGAAACUGUCGGUCUGGAGUAUCGGAGAGGCAGGCGGAAUGCCUGGUGUAGCGGUGAAAUGCAUAGAUAUUAGGAAGAACACCGAUGGCGAAGGCGGCCUGCUAGACGACAACUGACAGUGAGGCGCGAAAGCGUGGGGAGCAAACAGGAUUAGAUACCCUAGUAGUC
rnacentral:rRNA from 1 species